GACGAACGCUGGCGGCGUGCUUAACACAUGCAAGUCGAACGGAAAGGCCCUGCUUUUGUGGGGUGCUCGAGUGGCGAACGGGUGAGUAACACGUGAGUAACCUGCCCUUGACUUUGGGAUAACUUCAGGAAACUGGGGCUAAUACCGGAUAGGAGCUCCUGCUGCAUGGUGGGGGUUGGAAAGUUUCGGCGGUUGGGGAUGGACUCGCGGCUUAUCAGCUUGUUGGUGGGGUAGUGGCUUACCAAGGCUUUGACGGGUAGCCGGCCUGAGAGGGUGGCCGGCCACAUUGGGACUGAGAUACGGCCCAGACUCCUACGGGAGGCAGCAGUGGGGAAUAUUGCACAGUGGGCGGAAGCCUGAUGCAGCAACGCCGCGUGCGGGAUGACGGCCUUCGGGUUGUAAACCGCUUUCGCCUGUGACGAAGCGUGAGUGACGGUAAUGGGUAAAGAAGCACCGGCUAACUACGUG
rnacentral:rRNA from 1 species